rnacentral:tRNA from 1 species
GGUGGUAUGGCGCAAUUGGUUAGCGCAUUCGGCUGUUACGAGCUCGAUUCAUUCAAGCUGAGCAACCGAAAGGUUGUAAGUUCGAUCCUUACUAUCACCG